rnacentral:rRNA from 1 species
UACGUAGGGCGCAAGCGUUAUCCGGAAUUAUUGGGCGUAAAGAGCUCGUAGGCGGUUUGUCGCGUCUGCCGUGAAAGUCCGGGGCUCAACUCCGGAUCUGCGGUGGGUACGGGCAGACUAGAGUGAUGUAGGGGAGACUGGAAUUCCUGGUGUAGCGGUGAAAUGCGCAGAUAUCAGGAGGAACACCGAUGGCGAAGGCAGGUCUCUGGGCAUUAACUGACGCUG